rnacentral:rRNA from 1 species
UACGUAGGGGGCAAGCGUUGUCCGGAUUUAUUGGGCGUAAAGAGCGUGUAGGCGGCUUGGUAGGUCCGCUGUGAAAACUCGAGGCUCAACCUCGAGAUGUCGGCGGAAACCACUUGGCUAGAGUCCGGAAGAGGAGAGUGGAAUUCCUGGUGUAGCGGUGAAAUGCGCAGAUAUCAGGAAGAACACCAAUGGCGAAGGCAGCUCUCUGGGACGGUACUGACGCUGAGACGCGAAAGCGUGGGGAGCGAACAGG